rnacentral:rRNA from 1 species
AUUGAACGCUGGCGGCAUGCCUUACACAUGCAAGUCGAACGGUAACAGGUCUUCGGAUGCUGACGAGUGUCGAACGGGUGAGUAAUGCAUCGGACCGUGCCCAGUUGUGGGGGAUAACUGCUCGAAAGAGAAGCUAAUACCGCAUACGACCUGAGGGUGAAAGCGGGGGAGCGCAAGACCUCGCGCAAUUGGAGCGGCAGAUUUCAGAUUGGGUGGUUGGUGGGGUAAAGGCCUACCAAGCCGACGAUCUGUAGUAGGUCUGAGAGGACGACCAGCCACACUGGGACUGAGACACGGCCCAGACUCCUACGGGAGGCAGCAGUGGGGAAUUUUGGACAAUGGGCGCAAGCCUGAUCCAGCAAUGCCGCGUGCAGGAAGAAGGCCUUCGGGUUGUAAACUGCUUUUGUCAGGGAAGAAAUCCUCUGGGUUAAUACCCCGGGGGGAUGACGGUACCUGAAGAAUAAGCACCGGCUAACUACGUGCCAGCAGCCGCGGUAAUAC